rnacentral:rRNA from 1 species
UACGUAGGGGGCGAGCGUUAUCCGGAUUCACUGGGUGUAAAGGGAGCGUAGACGGCCAAGCAAGCCAGGGGUGAAAGCCCGGGGCCCAACCCCGGGACUGCCCUUGGAACUGCAUGGCUGGAGUGCGGGAGGGGCAGACGGAAUUCCUGGUGUAGCGGUGAAAUGCGUAGAUAUCAGGAGGAACACCGGCGGCGAAGGCGGCCUGCUGGACCGCGACUGACGUUGAGGCUCGAAAGCGUGGGGAGCGAACAGG